GUCUCAAASACUAAGCCUGCAUGUCUAAGUAUAAACACGUUUAUACAAGUGAAACUGCGAAUGGCUCAUUAAAACAGUUAUAGUUCCAUUGAGAAUACUACUACUUGGAUAACCGUAGUAAUUCUAGAGCUAAUACAUGCCUGAACGCCCGACUCACGAAGGGUGGUAUUUAUUGGAUAAAAAACCAUCGUGCUCUCUCGGGGGCACUUUGAGAUGAUUCACAAUAACUUGUCGGAUCGCAUGGCCUAGCGCUGGCGACUCCUCAUUCAAAUUUCUGCCCUAUCAACUUUCGAUGGUAGAGUAUUGGUCUACCAUGGUGUCGACGGGUGACGGGGGAUUAGGGUUCGAUUCCGGAGAGGGAGCCUGAGAAACGGCUACCACAUCCAAGGAAGGCAGCAGGCGCGCAAAUUACCCAAUCCCGAUUCGGGGAGGUAGUGACAAAAAAUAACAAUAGGGGGCCCUUUGGGUCUUCUAAUUGGAAUGAGAACAAUUUAAAUCCCUUAUCGAGGAUCCAUUGGAGGGCAAGUCUGGU
rnacentral:rRNA from 1 species